rnacentral:snRNA from 1 species
AUCGCUUCUUCGGCCCUUUGGCUAAGAUCAAGUGUAAGUAUCUUGUUCUUAUCAGUUUAAUAUCUGAUACGGUCCCCCUAUCUGGGGACCAUAUAUUAAAAUGGGAUUUUUUUGGAACAGGGGAGAUGGAGAGGGAAGAGCUUGCUCUGUCCACUCCACGCAGUCGACCUGGUAUUGGGCAGUACCUCCAGGACCGGUGCACCUCUC